GCCUGGGUGGCUCAGUCAGUUGAGUGUCCGACUUCGGCUCAGGUCAUGAUCUCACAGCUCGUGGGUUCGAGCCCCGCAUCAGGCU
rnacentral:tRNA from 1 species